rnacentral:rRNA from 1 species
CUGAGCAGCCACGCCGCGUGAGGGAUGACUGUCUUCGGGUUGUAAAGCUCUUUUACCCGGGACGAAAAUGUGGUACCGGUAGAUAAUGCCCGGCUAGUUCCGUGCCGGCAG